UGGGGAAUAUUGCACAAUGGGCGCAAGCCUGAUGCAGCCAUGCCGCGUGUAUGAAGAAGGCCUUCGGGUUGUAAAGUACUUUCAGUCAGGAGGAAGGUGGUAAGGUUAAUAACCUUAUCAAUUGACGUUACCGACAGAAGAAGCACCGGCUAACUCCGUGCCAGCAGCCGCGGUAAUACGGAGGGUGCAAGCGUUAAUCGGAAUUACUGGGCGUAAAGCGCACGCAGGCGGUUGAUUGAGUCAGAUGUGAAAUCCCCGGGCUUAACCCGGGAAUUGCAUCUGAUACUGGUCAGCUAGAGUCUUGUAGAGGGGGGUAGAAUUCCAUGUGUAGCGGUGAAAUGCGUAGAGAUGUGGAGGAAUACCGGUGGCGAAGGCGGCCCCCUGGACGAAGACUGACGCUCAGGUGCGAAAGCGUGGGGAGCAAACAGG
rnacentral:rRNA from 1 species